rnacentral:rRNA from 1 species
GCGAUACAGGGUGACAGCCCCGUACACAAAAAUGCACAUGCUGUGAGCUCGAUGAGUAGGGCGGGACACGUGGUAUCCUGUCUGAAUAUGGGGGGACCAUCCUCCAAGGCUAAAUACUCCUGACUGACCGAUAGUGAACCAGUACCGUGAGGGAAAGGCGAAAAGAACCCCGGCGAGGGGAGUGAAAAAGAACCUGAAACCGUGUACGUACAAGCAGUGGGAGCACAGAGCAAUCUGUGUGACUGCGUACCUUUUGUAUAAUGGGUCAGCGACUUAUAUUCUGUAGCAAGGUUAACCGAAUAGGGGAGCCGAAGGGAAACCGAGUCUUAACUGGGCGUUAAGUUGCAGGGUAUAGACCCGAAACCCGGUGAUCUAGCCAUGGGCAGGUUGAAGGUUGGGUAACACUAACUGGAGGACCGAACCGACUAAUGUUGAAAAAUUAGCGGAUGACUUGUGGCUGGGGGUGAAAGGCCAAUCAAACCGGGAGAUAGCUGGUUCUCCCCGAAAGCUAUUUAGGUAGCGCCUCGUGAAUUCAUCUCCGGGGGUAGAGCACUGUUUCGGCAAGGGGGUCAUCCCGACUUACCAACCCGAUGCAAACUGCGAAUACCGGAGAAUGUUAUCACGGGAGACACACGGCGGGUGCUAACGUCCGUCGUGAAGAGGGAAACAACCCAGACCGCCAGCUAAGGUCCCAAAGUCAUGGUUAAGUGGGAAACGAUGUGGGAAGGCCCAGACAGCCAGGAUGUUGGCUUAGAAGCAGCCAUCAUUUAAAGAAAGCGUAAUAGCUCACUGGUCGAGUCGGCCUGCGCGGAAGAUGUAACGGGGCUAAACCAUGCACCGAAGCUGCGGCAGCGACACUGUGUGUUGUUGGGUAGGGGAGCGUUCUGUAAGCCUGUGAAGGUGUGCUGUGAGGCAUGCUGGAGGUAUCAGAAGUGCGAAUGCUGACAUAAGUAACGAUAAAGCGGGUGAAAAGCCCGCUCGCCGGAAGACCAAGGGUUCCUGUCCAACGUUAAUCGGGGCAGGGUGAGUCGACCCCUAAGGCGAGGCCGAAAGGCGUAGUCGAUGGGAAACAGGUUAAUAUUCCUGUACUUGGUGUUACUGCGAAGGGGGGACGGAGAAGGCUAUGUUGGCCGGGCGACGGUUGUCCCGGUUUAAGCGUGUAGGCUGGUUUUCCAGGCAAAUCCGGAAAAUCAAGGCUGAGGCGUGAUGACGAGGCACUACGGUGCUGAAGCAACAAAUGCCCUGCUUCCAGGAAAAGCCUCUAAGCAUCAGGUAACAUCAAAUCGUACCCCAAACCGACACAGGUGGUCAGGUAGAGAAUACCAAGGCGCUUGAGAGAACUCGGGUGAAGGAACUAGGCAAAAUGGUGCCGUAACUUCGGGAGAAGGCACGCUGAUAUGUAGGUGAAGUCCCUCGCGGAUGGAGCUGAAAUCAGUCGAAGAUACCAGCUGGCUGCAACUGUUUAUUAAAAACACAGCACUGUGCAAACACGAAAGUGGACGUAUACGGUGUGACGCCUGCCCGGUGCCGGAAGGUUAAUUGAUGGGGUCAGCGCAAGCGAAGCUCUUGAUCGAAGCCCCGGUAAACGGCGGCCGUAACUAUAACGGUCCUAAGGUAGCGAAAUUCCUUGUCGGGUAAGUUCCGACCUGCACGAAUGGCGUAAUGAUGGCCAGGCUGUCUCCACCCGAGACUCAGUGAAAUUGAACUCGCUGUGAAGAUGCAGUGUACCCGCGGCAAGACGGAAAGACCCCGUGAACCUUUACUAUAGCUUGACACUGAACAUUGAGCCUUGAUGUGUAGGAUAGGUGGGAGGCUUUGAAGUGUGGACGCCAGUCUGCAUGGAGCCGACCUUGAAAUACCACCCUUUAAUGUUUGAUGUUCUAACGUGGACCCGUGAUCCGGGUUGCGGACAGUGUCUGGUGGGUAGUUUGACUGGGGCGGUCUCCUCCUAAAGAGUAACGGAGGAGCACGAAGGUUGGCUAAUCCUGGUCGGACAUCAGGAGGUUAGUGCAAUGGCAUAAGCCAGCUUGACUGCGAGCGUGACGGCGCGAGCAGGUGCGAAAGCAGGUCAUAGUGAUCCGGUGGUUCUGAAUGGAAGGGCCAUCGCUCAACGGAUAAAAGGUACUCCGGGGAUAACAGGCUGAUACCGCCCAAGAGUUCAUAUCGACGGCGGUGUUUGGCACCUCGAUGUCGGCUCAUCACAUCCUGGGGCUGAAGUAGGUCCCAAGGGUAUGGCUGUUCGCCAUUUAAAGUGGUACGCGAGCUGGGUUUAGAACGUCGUGAGACAGUUCGGUCCCUAUCUGCCGUGGGCGCUGGAGAACUGAGGGGGGCUGCUCCUAGUACGAGAGGACCGGAGUGGACGCAUCACUGGUGUUCGGGUUGUCAUGCCAAUGGCACUGCCCGGUAGCUAAAUGCGGAAGAGAUAAGUGCUGAAAGCAUCUAAGCACGAAACUUGCCCCGAGAUGAGUUCUCCCUGACCCUUUAAGGGUCCUGAAGGAACGUUGAAGACGACGACGUUGAUAGGCCGGGUGUGUAAGCGCAGCGAUGCGUUGAGCUAACCGGUACUAAUGAACCGUGAGGCUUAACCUUACAACGCCGAAGGUGUUU